GGAGCCGUGGUGCAGAGGUCUAACACGCUGGCCUGUCAAGCCAGAGAUCGCGGGUUCAAUUCCCGUCGGCUCCGCCA
rnacentral:tRNA from 1 species